rnacentral:rRNA from 1 species
GAUGAACGCUAGCGGCAGGCCUAAUACAUGCAAGUCGAACGAGAUUGGAGAGCUUGCUCUCCAUGAAAGUGGCGCACGGGUGCGUAACGCGUAUGCAAUCUACCUUACUCAGGGGGAUAGCCCGGAGAAAUCCGGAUUAACACCGCAUAACAUAAAGCUAUGGCAUCAUAGUUUUAUCAAAUAUUCAUAGGAGUAAGAUGAGCAUGCGUGACAUUAGCUAGUUGGUAAGGUAACGGCUUACCAAGGCGACGAUGUCUAGGGGAUCUGAGAGGAUGACCCCCCACACUGGUACUGAGACACGGACCAGACUCCUACGGGAGGCAGCAGUAAGGAAUAUUGGUCAAUGGAGGCAACUCUGAACCAGCCAUGCCGCGUGCAGGAAGACGGCCCUACGGGUUGUAAACUGCUUUUGUACCGGAAUAAACCCUCUUUCGUGAAAGAGGUUGAAUGUACGGUAAGAAUAAGGAUCGGCUAACUCCGUG